UGAUGUUAUGUGUAUGAUUGAGUAUAAGAACUUCAACCGUAAAUGGGUCUUAAAAGCCUAAGCAGUGUUUCCUUGUUAGAAGAUACAAAGCCAAAGGCUCAUACGGACUUCAUCUACACCAUCAAAGCUUUGAGAAGCCAGAAGAAGCAUGGUUAGUAUUUUAGAGUCAAAUAUGACUUGAUGUCAUGUGUAUGAUUGAGUAUAAGAACAAGAACUCCUAUUGG
rnacentral:sRNA from 1 species